GCCCGGGUGGCGGAAUUGGCAGACGCGCAUGGUUGAGGGCCAUGUGUUCCUAGAACGUGGAGGUUCGAGUCCUCUCCCGGGCA
rnacentral:tRNA from 1 species